AGAGUUUGAUCAUGGCUCAGGACGAACGCUGGCGGCGUGGAUUAGGCAUGCAAGUCGAACGGUAUAAACCUUUCGGGGUUUAGAGAGUGGCGAACGGGUGAGUAACACGUAGGUAAUCUACCCUCAAAACGGGGACAACCCAGGGAAACUUGGGCUAAUACCGGAUGCGUGCAAGCAAUGUUUUGGCUGUUAAUGCUAUUCGCGGAAGUGAGUAGUGUUAAUGGUUGAGAGCAUUAUUUGCAUAAAAGGUGGCAUAUGCUGCCGUUUGAGGAUGAGCCUGCGUCCUAUUAGUUAGUUGGUGAGGUAAUGGCUUACCAAGGCGAUGAUAGGUAGGCGGCCUUAACGGGUGGUCGCCCACACUGGGAUUGAGAGACGGCCCAGACUCCUACGGGAGGCAGCAGUCGAGAAUAGUCUACAAUGGACGGAAGUCUGAUAGUGCGACGCCGCGUGAACGAAGAAUCCCUUCGGGGUGUAAAGUUCUUUUAUACGUGAGCAGUGCCCUUUAUAUGAAUAGUAUAGAGGGAGGGAUUUAAGCGUAUGAAUAAGCAACGGCUAACUCCGUGCCAGCAGCCGCGGUAACACGGGGGUUGCAAGCGUUGUCCGGAAUUACUAGGCGUAAAGUGCAGGUAGGCGGAUAGAUAAGUUUAAGGUUAAAGGCUACGGCUUACCCGUAGUAAGGCGUUAGAUACUGUUUGUCUGGAAUGCGGUUGAGGGAGACAGAAUUCCUGGUGUAGCGGUGGAAUGCGCAGAGAUCAGGAGGAAUACCGAAGGCGAAGGCAGUCUUCUAAGCCGAUAUUGACGCUAAACUGCGAAGGUGUGGGGAUCAAACAGGAUUAGAUACCCUGGUAGUCCACACAGUAAACGAUAAUCACUAGGUGUUGGGUUCGUAUAGGACUCGGUGCCGGAGCUAACGCGAUAAGUGAUUCGCCUGGGGAGUACGAUCGCAAGGUUGAACUCAAAGGAAUUGACGG
rnacentral:rRNA from 1 species